CGGUAUUCAAUUUAUCCGAGAUAUUUAUGUGAUACAAUGGAUACAUAUAUACAAUUACUACCAUAAUAUGAUUACCAAAUAUAACACAUGUUGUGAGAUAAAUCCGGAGUAAAGGGCCUACAUAGGCAUAUCUCAUGUAACUAAAUUACUCAAGAGAAAAAAAAAACAAUGGCACAGGCUCUGACACGCAAGCCCAUGUUCCUGCAUAUUGUAAAAAAAGUUUCGGGAGCACCACAUGAUCUCAUUAAUAUAAUUACUCCAAGUACUACUAACAAAGAGGAUUUUAUUUACUUUGAGAGAGUUAUUGAUAAUUUAAUCAUGUGAUUUUCUCCAUCGGAGAGUAAUUUGAUUGCUCUGGAUACGACGAUGGAAUCAAACGAGUGAUGUUUUUUACCUACCAAAUGGAACCGUGUUACUUCAUCAACAUCACAUGAGAGGUCGAGUAAUAUUUUUACCGUCAUACCGUGGACUUGUUGGGUGAGAAAAAAAAAAAGGAGAAAACCAGAGGACAGCAUCCUGAGGCGCACCACGUAGCUAUUUCGUGUGCUGCACGUGGAAUAGUCCUACCGUCUAUUCAAAUAUUUUAACUUCAAAAACUUAUUUCAUGUAAAAGAAAUACCUAAAUUGCCUUAUCUAAUUACUAAUUCAAACAAAAAAUGUAGUGGUAUAAGUUAGCAACAUUGCAAAAGCGUACAGGACACCUAGAAAGCAACAAUUAAUUAAUCGAGGUAUGGACACAGGUGAUGCUUCAAACUCCUACCCUGUUUCAAAGGAAGCCAAAUCAGCCAUGAACCAACAAAAGCAACACGUGUCAUCUGUUGCCACGUUAACAUCACCACAAAGAUCAAUUUUUCCCAUCACCAACUUAGCAGCAGUUAGCACUAAGCCACCACUAACCUCCUCCCUAAUCACCAUCACCAACCAAACCUCCCACACGUCUCCCUCCCUCCCGGCUCGUAGCCAAAAACACGCUGGCUCGGC
rnacentral:lncRNA from 1 species